UUGAACGCUGGCGGCAUGCCUUACACAUGCAAGUCGAACGGCAGCACGGGGCAACCUGGUGGCGAGUGGCGAACGGGUGAGUAAUGCAUCGGAACGUGCCAUUGAGUGGGGGGUAACGUAGCGAAAGUUACGCUAAUACCGCAUAUUCUGUGAGCAGGAAAGCAGGGGAUCGCAAGACCUUGCGCUCUUUGAGCGGCCGAUGUCAGAUUAGCUAGUUGGUGAGGUAACGGCUUACCAAGGCGACGAUCUGUAGCGGGUCUGAGAGGAUGAUCCGCCACACUGGAACUGAGACACGGUCCAGACUCCUACGGGAGGCAGCAGUGGGGAAUUUUGGACAAUGGGGGCAACCCUGAUCCAGCCAUGCCGCGUGAGUGAAGAAGGCCUUCGGGUUGUAAAGCUCUUUCGGCCGGGAAGAAAUCGCAUGGGUUAAUACCCUGUGUGGAUGACGGUACCGGCAUAAGAAGCACCGGCUAACUACGUG
rnacentral:rRNA from 1 species